CCCUUAGAUGUUCUGGGCUGCACGCGCGCUACACUGUCGGAUUCAGCGAGUCAUAUCCUUAACCGAAAGGUUUGGGUAAUCUUUUGAAAGUCCGACGUGAUGGGGAUUGAUCAUUGCAAUUAUUGAUCAUGAACGAGGAAUUCCUAGUAAGCGCGAGUCAUCAGCUCGCGUUGAUUACGUCCCUGCCCUUUGUACACGCCGCCCGUCGCUACUACCGAUUGAAUGGUUUAGUGAGAUCUUCGGAUUGGCGCCUACGCGGCUUCUCUGAGGCCACGCUGGAUGCCGAAAAGUUGCUCAAACUGUAUCAUUUAGAGGAAGUAAAAGUCGUAACA
rnacentral:rRNA from 1 species